rnacentral:rRNA from 1 species
GUGAGGAAUUUUCCGCAAUGGGCGAAAGCCUGACGGAGCAAUGCCGCGUGAAGGAUGAAGGCCUAUGGGUUGUAAACUUCUUUUCUCAGAAAAGAAUUAUGACGGUAUCUGAGGAAUAAGCAUCGGCUAACUCUGUGCCAGCAGCCGCGGUAAGACAGAGGAUGCAAGCGUUAUCCGGAAUGAUUGGGCGUAAAGCGUCUGUAGGUUGUUUAAAAAGUAUUCUGUCAAAGAUUAGGGCUUAACCCUAGAUAGGCAGAAUAAACUUUUAAGCUAGAGUUUGGUAGAGGCAGAGGGAAUUCCCGGUGGAGCGGUGAGAUGCGUAGAUAUCGGGAGGAACACCAAAGGCGAAGGCACUCUGCUGGGCCAAUACUAACACUGAGAGACGAAAGCGAGGGGAGCAAAUGGGAUUAGAAACCCGAGUAGUCC